rnacentral:lncRNA from 1 species
GUUUGGAACUAGCGGGCUUGAAGUAGCUCCCCAGGGGCCUCAGGUCUUAGCUUCAGCCACAAGCCCAGUUUUCUGCUGUUGGUAAGAGCAGCCCUACAUGUGGUCUGAGAGCUUGUGUGCUUUGCACAUCACUGACUGGAGGCUGGACCAGGUGUUCUCUGGGAAAAAAAAAGACCGAGCCGUGCCUUCAAGGAGCUGCUGCUUAGGGAGCCAAAGACUUUUACUUAAUGUCCUCUAUUCUACCACACCAAAAAUCCUGGUUUCUGAUACCUAUAGACGCUCUCCUUUGAUUUCCCCAUGGACAUACAUAAAGCUCUCAGCUACUUCUCCACAACUGUGCCUGCCUUCCACUCUCCCUGCCAUGAUGAUAAUGGAACAAUCGUCUGCAAUUAUUCUCCUCUGAUUUUAAGAUUUCUUUCAACUUAUUGCUUUGGAGGUGAGCAGCCUUGCCAUCUUUCUGCUCAGAGUCCAGGGGAGGAAGAAUCCCAGAUACCAAGCCCUCAGAAACCCACCAUCCACAAGAAACAGCAGACUCCAGUUCCUGGAUCCUGACUAGAGGGAGGAUGAGAAACAUGCCCAGAGAUGGACUGGAGACUCCAUCUCCGUUGCCACCCUCCCUGGAGAUGAGGCACCUGACCCAUUGGGUUGUCUUCUCCCUGAAUCUCUGCAACUUCCAUUUGACAUCUAGGUGAAAGACACUAGACAUCUGGGUGUCCUUGAGCAGUAAAAAUAGUUGUUGUGAAGAUGUGAGCAUCUUUAUUUGCAGUCGUCGUCGUCGUUGUCGUCGUUGUCGUCAUUAUCAUCCAAGGCAGCUCAGGCUGAGGAACCUGCCUGCCAUAGAUGUGCAGCUGGCAGACUCUGCAGAUGGACACACAACCAAGAGGGCAUGGUUCUGCUGUCUAACCACUGUGCUGUCAUCCUGGAGGCCUGAGCAUCAGUUUCCAUCUACAUGAAGGUGUUACUGCUGCGAGAGAGCUCUCUGCCCUUUCUGCCCAGUGAUGGUGGAUCAUGGGAUCUCAGAUGCUAACUGGUGGUGUUGGGUCAAGCAAUCCACCUCCAGGUUACAGUCGUCCCCACCUCUGCUGGUGGGGUUCUGCCACAACUCAUGCCAGAGUCUCCUUCAAGUGGACUCUAGUACCAGGAGGGCUAAAGCAACCUGGUGAUGACAUUGGACAGAUGGUGGGUUUGUGCCACGUGGACCCUUCUGGCAAAGGAAGACUGAUCUAGAAUCACAUAGGAUAAAAGGAUCUGGGCACAUCUGUGAAGACAUUUUUGGAUUGGGCUGAGAUAGGAAGACUCAUCCUGAAUGUGGUGGCACCAUUCCCUAGGCUGGAGUGUUGGACCGAAUCAAAAGGAGAAAGUAAGCUGCGUACCAGCAUUCAUCUUUACUAUUUCCUAACUGCAGAUGCAGAGCUCCCUCCAGCUCCUGUUACCAAGCCUUAUCUACAAUGGUGGAUGGACUCAAGUUAUGAACUCAAAUAAUCCCUUCCUUCUGUGAGCUGCUUUUGUUAGGUAUUACAGCAAUAAGAGAAGUAAUUUGUAUGAAAACUAGUUCACUUUUCUUGAUAAAAGAAAUUCCCAAACCCAAAUGUUUUAUGUCUUUCUCCCUGUAACCCUAUGGGUCUGUUUCAGUUUGUCUCUGGGUUUCUGUUGUGAUCGUUUGGCUUUCUGUGUGACUGGUUAUCUUUCAAUACCUAAUAGAAACCAUCAUCUCAAGAUACAUAUCACCUUUCAGUGUUGUUCAAGUGGCAUUUGCCCUUUAAUUGAUUCAUUAUCAACAGAUUCAAUGUAUCACUAACGAAAUUUCUAAGUUUUCCUCGCCUCGUGAAAACGCUGUGCUAAUUCUAAGAUUUGUAGGAAAACACAGAAUCUAAGUAUCUAAAA